rnacentral:rRNA from 1 species
GUCUGGUUAAUUCCGAUAACGAACGAGACCUUAGCCUGCUAAUUAGUCUUGGUCAUAUUAUGUCUAUAGACUUCUUAGAGGGACUAUGCAUGCAAGUGCAUGGAAGUUUGAGGCAAUAACAGGUCUGUGAUGCCCUUAUAUGUUCUGGGCUGCACGCGUGCUACACUGAUGAGGUCAACAAGUGCCUAGCUUGACGAAGCAUGGCAAUCUCGAAUUCUCAUCGUGAUGGGGAUAGAGUAUUGCAAUUAUUACUCUUGAACGAGGAAUUUUUAGUAAUCGCAAGUCAUCAUCUUGUGAUGAUUAUGUCCCUGCCCUUUGUACACACCGCCUGUCGCUCCUACCGAUACCGGGUGAUCCGGUGAAUUUCCUGGACUGCUCACGCGGAAAAGGCAGUAAACCACAUCACCUAGAGGAAGGAGAAGUCGUAACAAGGUUUCCGUAGGUGAACCUGCRGAAGGAUCA